GUUAGUUGCUUCAAACGUCUACCUUCCAUCAUGAAGCUGUUCGGUCUCGUGGUGUUGGUGAUGGCGGUGCUGGCCCUGCUGGGCGGCGCUAGUGCCAACCCCAACCCCAAGGGCAUCGGUGGUGCCAUCAGGAAGGGCGGGAAAGUUAUUAAACACGGACUCGGUGUGAUCGGUGUCAUCGGCACUGGCCACGAGAUCUACCAGCAGAACCACAACUAGGCGACAUCCACCAGAUGUCAGGCUGCUUACUCCUCACAGCUCACAGCUAACCACCGCUGCAGUAUUAUACAUUCCAAUAGAUUAUUGUAGUUAAUUGCUAAUUGUUAUCCUGUUACCUAUGUUUUAUGUAUUUAAUAAACCGUUGACACUA